UUAAUGCUUUUCAUUGGCUGAUAUGCAUUUUGUGCACGAGAACCUAUUUAAACUUGUACUGCGUAACAAUGUGUAUACAGGUGUUUUUGAAGACCCCUCUGGCAAGAAUGCACAUUUUUUUCUAGAUUUGAACACCAAAUACCUGAAUCCCCAGCUCUCAUUGGUAGUCGCCACUGGGGUGACGUAGCGUCAACAUCCGCUCUUAGACUUUGUGUCUGUGUUAUCUAGUGGAAACCUAGUGUCGCCAAUUUUACUUUGUGGCUGUGGUAAAUAGUGACAAUAGGGACAGAGUAGGAAAUUUGAGACUGGAUGCCGAUGCGAUAACAGUUACGGACAAGAGUGAAGAUAACUCGAUUCCAUUUUAGCAACAGUGUCUUCAGAACUGGAUUCUAGUUCUGAAGAGCUGCAUACCAUGCAGGGCUGCAGAAAGAACUGGACAGGAAGACCUUGAAAGGGCUGCCCGAAUGCAAGAAGACAGGCUGUCAGAGAUGAAGUCUAAAUUACAAGAGCUGUCCUUUGAAGAAAGGGGAGAUGUUCUGGAGCUGGCCGCUUCCCAUAGAUCUGGAGCGAUUUUUGACAUCAUGGAGUACCAGAGAGCUAUCCCAGGGACUCCGGACAACCUCGCUGGCACACCUGCAUGAAUUGCAGGGAGACUCCUGCACCUUACAUCACACAACUGCUGCCAUUUCACCACUGCAACAUACCAUUGAUGUAUUACUAAGUAUGUUUCCAUAACAGGCUAACACUUCCCACAACUACUCUGUACUUUAUUCUUCAAUUGGAUCCCAAUUAGGAAAAAAAUACACCAUUUAAUGAUGUCUUUGUAAGUCUGUUUUUUUUUUCUUGGUCUGGGUGGUAUUAGUUCAGUACUUUAUCAAAAUGUUUCCCAUGUUUCCCUUACACUGUGUUUUUGUUAUUUUGAGGAAAGUUUCAUCGACUACCUUGUAUUCUUGUUUAUCUCCCUAAUAAAACUAUUUGACCUGA